CGGACCAAGGAGUUUAGCGUGUGCGCGAGUCAUCGGGUGGAAAACCUAAAGGCGCAAUGAAAGUGAAGGGGGUCUCUGACCUCCGAGGGAGGAUGGGCGUCCGUCCUUCGCAGGCGGCGCCCCGCACUCCCGGGGCGUCUCUUUCUCAUCACGAGUGGAGGCGCACCUGUAGCGCACACGCUGAUACCCGAAAGAUGGUGAACUAUGCCUGGCCAGGACGAAGCCAGGGGAAACCCUGGUGGAGGUCCGCAGCGAUUCUGACGUGCAAAUCGAUCGUCGGAGCUGGGUAUAGGGGCGAAAGACCAAUCGAACCAUCUAGUAGCUGGUUCCUUCCGAA
rnacentral:rRNA from 1 species